GAUGAACGCUGGCGGCGUGCCUAAUACAUGCAAGUCGAGCGAACAGACGAGGAGCUUGCUCCUCUGACGUUAGCGGCGGACGGGUGAGUAACACGUGGAUAACCUACCUAUAAGACUGGGAUAACUUCGGGAAACCGGAGCUAAUACCGGAUAAUAUAUUGAACCGCAUGGUUCAAUAGUGAAAGACAGUUUUGCUGUCACUUAUAGAUGGAUCCGCGCCGCAUUAGCUAGUUGGUAAGGUAACGGCUUACCAAGGCAACGAUGCGUAGCCGACCUGAGAGGGUGAUCGGCCACACUGGAACGGAGACAAGGUCCAGACUCCUACGGGAGGCAGCAGUAGGGAAUCUUCCGCAAUGGGCGGAAGCCUGACGGAGCAACGCCGCGUGAGUGAUGAAGGUCUUCGGAUCGUAAAACUCUGUUAUUAGGGAAGAACAAAUGUGUAAGUAACUAUGCACGUCUUAACGGUACCUAAUCAGAAAGCCACGGCUAACUACGUG
rnacentral:rRNA from 1 species